GGCCGCCUGGCGAAAUGGCAUCGCGUCUGACUACGAUGAGUUUCCGAUCGACAAUCUAUCAGUAUCAGGAGAUUGCAGGUUCGACCCCUGCGGUGGUCA